GAACCACCUGACCCCAUGCCGAACUCAGAAGUGAAACGCUGUAGCGCCGAUGGUAGUGUGGCAUUCGCCAUGCGAGAGUAGGACACUGCCAGGC
rnacentral:rRNA from 2 species